GACGAACGCUGGCGGCGCGCCUAACACAUGCAAGUCGAACGGAGAUAAUGGAGGAGCUUGCUCCACUGUUAUCUUAGUGGCGGACGGGUGAGUAACACGUGAGCAACCUGCCUUUCAGAGGGGGAUAACGUUUGGAAACGAACGCUAAUACCUCAUAACAUCAUAAUGUGGCAUCAUAUUGUGAUCAAAGGAGCAAUCCGCUGAAAGAUGGGCUCGCGUCCGAUUAGAUAGUUGGUGAGGUAACGGCUCACCAAGUCGACGAUCGGUAGCCGGACUGAGAGGUUGAACGGCCACAUUGGGACUGAGACACGGCCCAG
rnacentral:rRNA from 1 species